ensembl:processed_transcript
UCUAUGAAGAAAACAUCCUGGUGAAUCCAAAGACCCUUCAAGUCAAGUUGAUUGGUUUUGGCUGCAGUGAUUACAUUGCGGGCGACUUAAAACCGCACGCUGGAUUUGACCAAAUCUACUGCAAAUGUAUGUGGCAUUCUCGUCUAGUAGAAGUUGGUUUCUUGAGGAAUGCACAUUUUGCUCUAGAAGAAACUGUUGAGUGUGUGGCAAGACUCCUGGCAAGGAUGGUGAAUGGAUAUUGGCCCCUUCGCUCUAUGGUUGAGUAUCCAAGAUUUCACCCCAGUGUAUCCAAAGAAUGCAGAGAUCUUCUGAAAAUGUGCUUCGGUUUCAAUGUUCACGAUGGACCCACUUUGGAGGAUAUUAUUGAUCAUAAGUGGUUCAACAAAAAGAUAGACACCUGAUGGACAGAAACCACUGGCACAAUCUGGUAGGCUUAUUGACACUUCUGGUGGCACAUCUGGAGGGCUUGAUCGUGGAUAUGGUGCAGGUCCAAGUAGGUCACCAGGCAGAUGUUUAGACAGCCAACAGGAUCAAUGCAGAGAUUCGUCUAUACCUAUAAUUAAAUGACACAACAUCUGACGCACAGAAGCCAUUGCGCCUGUUAAUAUGCUUGGCGACUGGUGUCAGUGGAUAGCGGCAUGUGCCACUGGAGCUUGUGAUGUGCGCUGAUGCGUUGCGUCCUGUGUCACUGAGAUUGUCGCAGUACAUGUUGCUGUGUGGCUCCUCUAGUGGUGACUGACAGCUCCUGCUGCUGCUGCUGACGAUGCUGACUGCUGACUGAGCAUGAAGUAGGUUGUGUAACACAGACACUUAACAACAGAACAAUAUUUCAUUAAUAAUAUAAAAACCGCCAAAAAUAAUAUUUAUUACAUUGCAGAGUUUGUUUAUACAACAUACUGGGCUUAGAAAUAUUCAUAUUAUUACUGCACUGUAAUGCUAAAACAGCGUAAGAUAAUUUGUUUAAAGAAAAAAUCUGAAAAUAAUGUAAAAUAUGUAGUUUGGUUUACUUAAAAAUCACCAAGUUAGAGAUUUUACUUAAGUGUUUUAUUAUUUUGUCGUUCACUAAACAUACUGUAAUGUAAUUGUGGUAAUGUCAGCAACACUGCUUAUAAAAAUGAAAUAUAAUGCAAAAAGAUAGAAAAUAUAAUUAUAAAAACUUAUAUAAAUUAUAUUAGAAUUAUAAAAAUUCUGUAAAUUAAAAUGAUCAUUUCUAAGUAGUAAUUUGAAGAUUUGAGAAUGCACAAAAAUUAUAAAAAACAUAUUUGAAAAUAAUUUUGAUUGAAGCAAAAACAAAAAAUAAAUGUGUGAUUUUUGAAUGUUUAGUUUUCAUUUAGUUCAUUUCACAAAGUAGAAAGUGCAAAAACAUCAAUUUGCAUGAGAAGUGCAGUUUUAUACAUAAGUUUAACAUGAAUAACUAGUUGCUUUCAUUUAGUUAAUUAUCCACUGGAAAAAGUAAAGUGAGGAAUUACUGGAAUAGCUGUACGUGAUACAAAAUCCUAAAUAAAUGACCUAAUACAUUUAAAGGGACAUGAAACUAAUUUUAAAAUACAGAAGCCUAAUAUUGUUGUACAAAUGAACACUGCAAUGUACGUCGACAUCACUUUGCAUUUUCACCGUCACACAUGACAAAAAUGAAUAUUAUUAAUAUUGUCAUAAUUGAACUUUAUCACAUAAUUCACUUUUUUGAAACCACUAAAAAAUAGUUUUGUUGUCAUCUGGUGUGACACCCUUAUUUAUUGUUUAUUAUUAUAUUAAUUAUAUAUGGUCAUUAUAUAACUAAUGCAUUAACUAGUGUGUUCAAUAAUGUAUUAAUAAU